GCUUUAGUCUCCUAGGACUUCCCUGAGUUCCAAAGAACAGAAUCAAGCAAUUACUAAUUAGGGAGGUGAGGGAAUGCAGAAAAAAAGGAAAAGCAGUCUAGAAACAAUAGUUCAAUGGAUAAAACAGAGUCCUAGUUCUUCCUCAAGGGAUAUACAUAACUAUCUGAUGCAUAUUUUUGAGUUGUUCUUCAGAUACUGAGACCCCCCCCACACACACACACACAUACUCAGAUGGAGGAUGGUGACUACUUGCUGACCACAAUCAUGUAGAUCCUAGACUGGUUGCCACCAGAAGGUUGAUGAUUAAGAUUCCUGAAACACCAUCCUGUUACCUCAUCACAAACCAAUCAGAAGAAAGUCUGUGAGCUGCAACCCUCACCCCAAAUGUGGCCUUUAAAAACCCUCCCCUGAACACCAUCAGGGAGUUUAGGUCUUUUGAGCAUGAGCUGCCCAUUCUCCUUGCUUGGUGUCCUGCAAUAAAAGCUGCACUCUCCUUUACUGCAACCUGUUGUCAGUAGAUUGACUUUGCUGUACAUUGGGGGAAGAUUCAUUCUUAUCAUAGGAGAGGAGACUGGACGUCAAUACCACACCCAGAGCCCCAACUGAGGAACUUAAUUAAGAUAGGUAGAGGAAAUAUUUUUCCUCCCCUACACUGGACCUCUGAAAUUCACACAUGUGGUGUUUGAAUCACAGAAGACAAAACAGUAUCUGCCUGCAGAAGUCUGAUUAAGAAACUCACAUCCCUGAGUCCCAGUUUACAGCUCUGUCCGCAUGUUGAGCUUCGCCUACAUAUGUUGCUAAGGAAUUGGCAAUGGCCUGGGAAACUCAAAGCUACGGAUGGAUGAGUGGCGAGUCACAGGUGUGCUGGUGUCCAGGCCAGUGUGACAGGGACCGAUGGACCAGUGCCUUGGACAGCAUUGGUUUGGGCGGCCUUUGAGGACACGGUGGGGGCUGCAGACGGGGGGCUUUGGUCCAAGAGGGGCAACAAGAUGUGCAGUCCGGAGUGGUUGGCUGUCGGCAGAGAACAUGGGAGACGCCACCUCCUGGCAGCCCUGGAAGAGAUACAAGAGGGGGCCAGGAACCCCAGAAAGGAGGCAGCUGGCAUCCUUCUCCUUCACACGUGUCAGUGUUGGACCACAGUCUCUCUGUUGAUGGGACCACAUUUGUGCACACAAACCUUAGAAGGAAACCCCUGUGUGUUAUUGUGGCAAUUCUUGGAGAUUCCUGUUCACCCAUGAAUCUCUUUAUUGGGGACCAUUUCUGGACGUCAUGGUCACUGACCUCUUGAUUGAAAGGAAUUUUUCCCUUUUUUCCCAGAAGGAGGGAAAAGUUCCUCCUGAGGGGGAAAAAAUGGUGAAAAGAAAAUUCUAGUAAAUGGAAAAUGAUGUGGAAGGGCCCUCUUGUAUGUGAUAGGUAAGUGAAUGGGCUCUCAGGAUGAGGUCAGACUUUUGGGAAAUUAAGGAAGCCCCACGGAGGCGGGGUGGGGGAAGAGAGGUGGAAACAGGGCACAAAGCCGAAAACCCAGGACCCAAAGGCUUCCUGCCUGCCCCAUGGGUGACCAAGGGUGAUAAUUUCAAGCCUAAAUUUCGAGUGAUAUUCAAUUUUUAUAUGUGGGCUUAAUAUUUGCCAUAGUAUUUGCAGUUAAUUAUGUUUCCUUCUAUAUUUGUGUGUUAAGAUGAAUCACUGUUGUUCCAGGUAUUUUUCUGAGCUAAGUGGAGGGGGGCACGUGCGAAGUGAGGCCUGCGGAGGGGGUGGGAGUGGGUCUGGAGAAAAAUGAUUUUGCUUCCGUUUAUGGAUUUGUAUAUAUACUUGGAUAACUGCCUGUUCGACUAGGGCUCGUUUGGUUUGGUUUAUGGGUCUGCCUUGCUUCCCUGCCCACCCCCACACCCCUCCAGUGUCUUAGAACAAAUCUUCACCUUCCUCCAGGGCAGGUGUCUAUGUGUUGCAGGAAAAUGGGGCACGAGAGGAUGGUCACGUCCCAGGUCUCGGGCAAGUGACCGAUAGGGAUGGGAUAGGCUGCCAAGUGAGGGUCCUUGGCUUUGCACAAGUAAGAAUUCAAGACCGAGCCAUAGUAAAGUGAAAGCAAGUUUAUUUAGAGAGGUACACAUUCCAUAGACAGAAUGCUGUCCUUCUGAGAAGGGAGACUGGUCCCAGGGCAUAGGGUCGUUUUGGAAAGUGAUAGCGCCCUGAAAUAUGUUAGUUUUUAUGGGCUGGGUAAUUUCAUAGGCUGAUGAGUGGGAGGAUUAUUCCAACUAUUUUGGAGAAGGGGCAGGGAUUUCCAGGAAUUGGGCCACCCCCCCCUUUUGGCCUUUUAGGUAAACCUCAGAACUGUCAUGGCACCUGUGCCUGUGUCACUUAGCUUAUGCUAAUGUAUUACAAUGAGCGUAUAAUGAGGCUCGAGGUCUACUGGAAGUCGAAUCUUCCGCCAUCUUGGGCCUAGUAGGUUCUAACCAGUUUUUGUCGAAUCCCUCCUGUCUCAUGUGGGGUGAUGUUGGCCAUUCAAAAAGCCCUAAAAGGGUUAGGAUGCAAACAGAAACAUGAUUUACUCUUCCCUCUUUCUCCAAUCUUCAGGGCUGGGGAAUCAAUUUAGGGAGACUGCCGCCUCUCAAGGUUGCUUCUCUCUAGGCAGUUGAGGGGAAACCAAGAGCAGUGGAGCUGCUUGGUGGGGGGAGGCCGGCACCAGGAGCCAUCCUCUGUCACCUGGGGUUAACUGGGGUAGGGGGUGCUCCCAGCCCUGGGGCUCAUCCCCUUCCCUCUCCUUAAGUUCAUAAGAGCUGAUGUCAAUUUGGGCUUAACCUUUAACUCUUUCCACUUCUUACUUCCAGACAAAUUAGUUGAUCAAUAGCUGAUUUGAUCCUGAUCAUUUAGCCACAGAUUGAAACUUUUUCCAUUUCAUCAGUCUCACUUUUCUUUUUUUUCUUUUCUGCUUAGUUUGGGUUGAAUAGACACAGCUCUUUUCCUUAUUGCAUGCUUUAUUUUUUUGUGCUUUAAAACUGUUCUCACGGUGACAAUUCCUUCCAGAUGCACCUGUAACUUUCCAUUCCUCAUUUUCUCACCACUUUCAAAGUAAAUGUUAUUUCUACAUUGGUUACUUUUGUAAUUUUGCCUCUUAUUAGUGCUUUCAAGAUUCUCACGGGUGUUAUGCUUAUUGGUUAUUAUGGAGUUGACAACGUGUGAACAAUUACUUGGGCACAAGGAUGUCAACACAGUUGAGUCAUGGACUGUAUUGUUCACCAUGGCAGGUCUCAAAUGACCUUUCACUAUAGUCGGUGCCAUCUGUUGGUGGAGGGAAGUGUUGACAUUCUUUUUUCUGGAGUUUUUCUUUUUGUGCAUCUAUAGACAUUGAAAUUUAAGUGGAAAAGCUUCUUUAUACAGAUUCUUCUGUGGCUUUAAAAGUAAUUCAUUAUAGGGGGGUGGAGGAGGGAUGGAUUGGGAGUUUGGGAUUAGCAGAUGCAAACUAUUAUAUAUAGAACAGAUAAACAACAAG